rnacentral:pre_miRNA from 13 species
CUGCCUGGUUCAAGUAAUCCAGGAUAGGCUGGUUAACGCUGGCACGGCCUAUUCUUGAUUACUUGUUUCAGGAAC